AGACGUUUUGAGUCCCUGGCUCAGAACGAACGCUGCGGCAGGCUUAACACAUGCAAGUCGAACGGUUGUAGCAAUACAGCAGUGGCAGACGGGUGAGUAACACUGGGAACCUUCCUAGGGGUACGGAACAACUCAGGGAAACUUGAGCUAAUACCGUAUACGUCCGUGAGGAGAAAGAUUUAUCGGCCCUUAGACGGGCCCGCGUAGGAUUAGGUAGUUGGUGAGGUAACGGCUCACCAAGCCUACGAUCCUUAGCUGAUCUGAGAGGAUGAUCAGCCACACUGGGACUGAGACACGGCCCAGACUCCUACGGGAGGCAGCAGUGGGGAAUCUUGGACAAUGGGCGCAAGCCUGAUCCAGCCAUGCCGCGUGAGUGAAGAAGGCCUUCGGGUUGUAAAGCUCUUUUACCAGGGACGAUAAUGACGGUACCUGGAGAAUAAGCCCCGGCAAACUUCGUG
rnacentral:rRNA from 1 species